rnacentral:rRNA from 1 species
GGGUUGUGAGGUUAAGCGACUAAGCGUACACGGUGGAUGCCCUGGCAGUCAGAGGCGAUGAAGGACGUGCUAAUCUGCGAUAAGCGUCGGUAAGGUGAUAUGAACCGUUAUAACCGGCGAUUUCCGAAUGGGGAAACCCAGUGUGUUUCGACACACUAUCAUUAACUGAAUCCAUAGGUUAAUGAGGCGAACCGGGGGAACUGAAACAUCUAAGUACCCCGAGGAAAAGAAAUCAACCGAGAUUCCCCCAGUAGCGGCGAGCGAACGGGGAGCAGCCCAGAGCCUGAAUCAGUGUGUGUGUUAGUGGAAGCGUCUGGAAAGGCGCGCGAUACAGGGUGACAGCCCCGUACACAAAAAUGCACAUACUGUGAGCUCGAUGAGUAGGGCGGGACACGUGGUAUCCUGUCUGAAUAUGGGGGGACCAUCCUCCAAGGCUAAAUACUCCUGACUGACCGAUAGUGAACCAGUACCGUGAGGGAAAGGCGAAAAGAACCCCGGCGAGGGGAGUGAAAAAGAACCUGAAACCGUGUACGUACAAGCAGUGGGAGCACGCUCAGGCGUGUGACUGCGUACCUUUUGUAUAAUGGGUCAGCGACUUAUAUUCUGUAGCAAGGUUAACCGAAUAGGGGAGCCGAAGGGAAACCGAGUCUUAACUGGGCGUUAAGUUGCAGGGUAUAGACCCGAAACCCGGUGAUCUAGCCAUGGGCAGGUUGAAGGUUGGGUAACACUAACUGGAGGACCGAACCGACUAAUGUUGAAAAAUUAGCGGAUGACUUGUGGCUGGGGGUGAAAGGCCAAUCAAACCGGGAGAUAGCUGGUUCUCCCCGAAAGCUAUUUAGGUAGCGCCUCGUGAAUUCAUCUCCGGGGGUAGAGCACUGUUUCGGCAAGGGGGUCAUCCCGACUUACCAACCCGAUGCAAACUGCGAAUACCGGAGAAUGUUAUCACGGGAGACACACGGCGGGUGCUAACGUCCGUCGUGAAGAGGGAAACAACCCAGACCGCCAGCUAAGGUCCCAAAGUCAUGGUUAAGUGGGAAACGAUGUGGGAAGGCCCAGACAGCCAGGAUGUUGGCUUAGAAGCAGCCAUCAUUUAAAGAAAGCGUAAUAGCUCACUGGUCGAGUCGGCCUGCGCGGAAGAUGUAACGGGGCUAAACCAUGCACCGAAGCUGCGGCAGCGACGCUUAUGCGUUGUUGGGUAGGGGAGCGUUCUGUAAGCCUGCGAAGGUGUGCUGUGAGGCAUGCUGGAGGUAUCAGAAGUGCGAAUGCUGACAUAAGUAACGAUAAAGCGGGUGAAAAGCCCGCUCGCCGGAAGACCAAGGGUUCCUGUCCAACGUUAAUCGGGGCAGGGUGAGUCGACCCCUAAGGCGAGGCCGAAAGGCGUAGUCGAUGGGAAACAGGUUAAUAUUCCUGUACUUGGUGUUACUGCGAAGGGGGGACGGAGAAGGCUAUGUUGGCCGGGCGACGGUUGUCCCGGUUUAAGCGUGUAGGCUGGUUUUCCAGGCAAAUCCGGAAAAUCAAGGCUGAGGCGUGAUGACGAGGCACUACGGUGCUGAAGCAACAAAUGCCCUGCUUCCAGGAAAAGCCUCUAAGCAUCAGGUAACAUCAAAUCGUACCCCAAACCGACACAGGUGGUCAGGUAGAGAAUACCAAGGCGCUUGAGAGAACUCGGGUGAAGGAACUAGGCAAAAUGGUGCCGUAACUUCGGGAGAAGGCACGCUGAUAUGUAGGUGAAGCGACUUGCUCGUGGAGCUGAAAUCAGUCGAAGAUACCAGCUGGCUGCAACUGUUUAUUAAAAACACAGCACUGUGCAAACACGAAAGUGGACGUAUACGGUGUGACGCCUGCCCGGUGCCGGAAGGUUAAUUGAUGGGGUCAGCGCAAGCGAAGCUCUUGAUCGAAGCCCCGGUAAACGGCGGCCGUAACUAUAACGGUCCUAAGGUAGCGAAAUUCCUUGUCGGGUAAGUUCCGACCUGCACGAAUGGCGUAAUGAUGGCCAGGCUGUCUCCACCCGAGACUCAGUGAAAUUGAACUCGCUGUGAAGAUGCAGUGUACCCGCGGCAAGACGGAAAGACCCCGUGAACCUUUACUAUAGCUUGACACUGAACAUUGAGCCUUGAUGUGUAGGAUAGGUGGGAGGCUUUGAAGUGUGGACGCCAGUCUGCAUGGAGCCGACCUUGAAAUACCACCCUUUAAUGUUUGAUGUUCUAACGUUGACCCGUGAUCCGGGUUGCGGACAGUGUCUGGUGGGUAGUUUGACUGGGGCGGUCUCCUCCUAAAGAGUAACGGAGGAGCACGAAGGUUGGCUAAUCCUGGUCGGACAUCAGGAGGUUAGUGCAAUGGCAUAAGCCAGCUUGACUGCGAGCGUGACGGCGCGAGCAGGUGCGAAAGCAGGUCAUAGUGAUCCGGUGGUUCUGAAUGGAAGGGCCAUCGCUCAACGGAUAAAAGGUACUCCGGGGAUAACAGGCUGAUACCGCCCAAGAGUUCAUAUCGACGGCGGUGUUUGGCACCUCGAUGUCGGCUCAUCACAUCCUGGGGCUGAAGUAGGUCCCAAGGGUAUGGCUGUUCGCCAUUUAAAGUGGUACGCGAGCUGGGUUUAGAACGUCGUGAGACAGUUCGGUCCCUAUCUGCCGUGGGCGCUGGAGAACUGAGGGGGGCUGCUCCUAGUACGAGAGGACCGGAGUGGACGCAUCACUGGUGUUCGGGUUGUCAUGCCAAUGGCACUGCCCGGUAGCUAAAUGCGGAAGAGAUAAGUGCUGAAAGCAUCUAAGCACGAAACUUGCCCCGAGAUGAGUUCUCCCUGACCCUUUAAGGGUCCUGAAGGAACGUUGAAGACGACGACGUUGAUAGGCCGGGUGUGUAAGCGCAGCGAUGCGUUGAGCUAACCGGUACUAAUGAACCGUGAGGCUUAACCUUACAACGCCGAAGCUGUU